rnacentral:lncRNA from 1 species
CAGCAAUGGAUACGUCAGAAUCAUGAGCUCAUAACAGGGUUGCUUCUGUCAAUAAUUUGUAAGUAACUUAUUGUUUGGGAUAACUAUGAAAUUGUUUCAAUAAUCAAUUAUUCUAUCUAUGAUUCAUGAUUGAUUAUAGUGUUAGUAUAUAUUAUAGAAUAAGUUUUGUGUUUACCGUGUUUGUUGAUGACUGGUUCUAAGAUAAUCUAUUUUGUUAUGAGUUUCUCAUAGAAAUGUCAUAUGCCUCUGUUCUGGCCUCUCUCUUUCUGUUGUCUAUGUUUUUGGUUUAUUGUGUCCUGGGUUGAUUAGACAGAUAUCUAUUAUUAAGGAGGCAUCUUGAGUUUUUCAUAUGCUAAUGUUGUAUGUUAAGAGAAAGCUUAAUAUAUUUUUUCGAUUUAAAAAAGCUUAUGAAAUUAUAAGGUCGUAACACGUAAUAAAAUGGAUAGAAAUGCACAUAAACACUUUCAUAAGAUAAACAUUUCUAAUACAGGCAGUAUGAUAAUGUAUGAUAGGAUUUGUGCAUGAAAUUCCUACGAACAUCUUACAUAGGGCUAACCUGGAAUUGCUUAUUAAUCCUAUGCACCUUUUCUGGUUUAUCACCUCCCUUUGGUUUGUUCUCUGGUCCCUUUUUAUGAUUUCCCUCACACUUGUACCUGAAUGAUGUUUUUUUGUGUGUUGAAGAGUAUGACAACCAAGUUGGUUUUUUGUGUA